rnacentral:rRNA from 1 species
GACGAACGCUGGCGGCGUGCUUAACACAUGCAAGUCGAACGGAAAGGCCUUUUCUGCGGUACUCGAGUGGCGAACGGGUGAGUAACACGUGUGUUAUUUGCCCUGCACUCUGGGAUAAUCCUGGGAAACUGGGUCUAAUUCCGGAUAGGACUGCACUUUAGCGUGUGUGUUGGAAAGUUUUUUCGGUGUAGAAUGAGCCCGCGGCCUAUCGGCUUGUUGGUGGGGUUGUGGCCUACCAAGGCGACGACGGGUAGCCGGAUAGAGAGGUUGGUCAACAACAUUGGGGGUGAGGUGCGGACCAAACACAAACAGGAGGAAGCUGUGGGGAAUGCUGCACAAAGGGGGCGAGCCAGAUGCAGCGAAGCCGCGUGGGGGAUGACGGGCUUCGGAUUGUAAACGCAUUUCGCCAGGGACGAAGCGUUUUGUAAAGGUAGUUGGAGAAGAAGCACCGGCUAAAUUCUAG